UUGAAAUUUUUUGCAAGAAUGCAAAGAGGGAAUUCAAACUUUACAAGUACGGUGUUAAGAAGGGAAGGCUGGCCUUGUUUAGAAGAUUAUCUCUUGUAUUUUCCUUAUAUAUUGUAAUCUCCUCUCCUGAAAGUCUUCCGCAGAAAAUCAAUUUCUGGGGCCCCCAAUUUGAUUAUUUUAUCCGAAAAUGGUUGGCCAUCCGAAGAUGAGACGGCGGCAACGGUUGGCAAUGAUGAACUUUCUGCAGAAAUUUGAUUUAUCGUGCGAGAAAAGGGACAUACUGGUUUGCUAAGCUCGACAAGAGCCUGAAGCCAGCAGGAAUUGAACAGCAUUCUGGUCAAUUCCUCUCCGGUAGACAGCUCAGGUAGUAGAAACUCUACCAUGGCUGGCAUGUUGUUAAUCAGAUUCUUGAAGUCUGGCCUCGAAGCUUUAACAGGUACAUCUUAUUGCAUGAAACAUGACUGCAUAAAUACUAGCUACCAUUUGCUUAUGAAUCAGUCUACAACAAAUUUUACACUAUUGCUGCUGCUUCUUCUGUGCUUGCUAAGUUCGCGUAUGAUUCAUUUAUUAACUCUACUUGGAUUCAUAGUUCUUGGUUUUGCAAUCUAUGGUGUUGCUUGGCUUUGUUCAUGUUGAGGGCACAGCUAGCUAUUCUAUUCGUGGGCUGCUGGUUUCGAUGCAGCCUCUGUUUGU